GAUGAACGCUAGCGGCAGGCCUAAUACAUGCAAGUCGAACGGUGUCUUCGGACAUAGUGGCGCACGGGUGCGUAACACGUAUGCAACCUACCUUACAUUGGGGGAUAGCCUUUCGAAAGGGAGAUUAGUACCGCAUAAGACAGUAACUAGGCAUCUAGUAGCUGUUAAAGAUUUAUCGAUGUAAGCUGGGCAUGCGUCCAAUUAGCUAGUUGGUGAGGUAACGGCUCACCAAGGCAAUGAUUGGUAGGGGAACUGAGAGGUCAAUCCCCCACACUGGCACUGAGAUACGGGCCAGACUCCUACGGGAGGCAGCAGUAGGGAAUAUUGGGCAAUGGACGCAAGUCUGACCCAGCCAUGCCGCGUGCAGGAUGAAGGCGUUAUGCGUUGUAAACUGCUUUUAUACAGGAAGAAACGACUCUUGCGAGAGGCAUUGACGGUACUGUAUGAAUAAGCACCGGCUAACUCCGUGCCAGCCGCCGCCGUAAGAC
rnacentral:rRNA from 1 species